rnacentral:rRNA from 1 species
CGGACGGGUGAGUAAUGUCUGGGAAACUGCCUGAUGGAGGGGGAUAACUACUGGAAACGGUAGCUAAUACCGCAUAACGUCGCAAGACCAAAGAGGGGGACCUUCGGGCCUCUUGCCAUCGGAUGUGCCCAGAUGGGAUUAGCUAGUAGGUGGGGUAAAGGCUCACCUAGGCGACAUCCCUAGCUGGUCUGAGAGGAUGACCAGCCACACUGGAACUGAGACACGGUCCAG